rnacentral:rRNA from 1 species
UACAGAGGGUGCGAGCGUUAAUCGGAAUUACUGGGCGUAAAGCGCGCGUAGGCGGCUUUGCAAGUCGGGUGUGAAAUCCCAGGCUUAACCUGGGAACUGCAUUCGAGACUGCAUUGCUAGAGUAUGGGAGAGGAAGUGGAAUUUCCGGUGUAGCGGUGAAAUGCGUAGAUAUCGGAAGGAACAUCAGUGGCGAAAGCGACUUCCUGGACCAAUACUGACGCUCAUGUGCGAAAGCGUGGAGCAAACAGG